rnacentral:rRNA from 1 species
UUUAUGGAGAGUUUGAUCCUGGCUCAGGAUGAACGCUGGCGGCGUGCCUAAUACAUGCAAGUCGAGCGAACGGACGAGAAGCUUGCUUCUCUGAUGUUAGCGGCGGACGGGUGAGUAACACGUGGAUAACCUACCUAUAAGACUGGGGUAACUUCGGGAAACCGGAGCUAAUACCGGAUAAUAUUUUGAACCGCAUGGUUC